rnacentral:ribozyme from 1 species
UCACUUCACUACUAAAGAGCCACAUGCUGCAUCUCGAGCAUUUUUCACAUCUGCACUUGCACAAGCUUCACAUUGUCAAGAGGGAAGGAGUUAGCCAAAA